ACACUGCACAGGCAUUUGCUGUGGUAUCACUCCCACAUGAGGAACCUUCAUCACAGUCUUUCUUCAAGUAUGUUCUCUCCUGUGGAGACAGAACACCUGUAAGCAUGGAAGUAGACUGAAGACAUGUUGUAUUUGUUGCUUUUAAUCAUGUCAGCUUGGAGGAAGAAUCCGCAGAAAGAGAUCUAACAGGAAUAUUUACAGCCACACAGAUGACAAUACAAACCCAUGGGCUUUGACUCAGAGUUCAUUAUUUUGCAGAGGAUGGGUCUUUCUUCCCUGCAGGGAUCUAUCUAUCACUGCUGACUCUCUGCGUCUUCUCCACAUGGAAGAAGUAAUUGGAUUGUAUUUUCUGCACACGACCAAGACAGCAGGGAAACCCACAGCUGUAAGCUAGAGAACCAAGCUGUCUAGAGAGUAAGUACCUGAUGCCUAAGAAAAAGAAAUGUCUAGCCACAAGAUCUUUCCUUUCUUUCCAUGGAGGAGCUGAGACAUGCUGAACUGCAUUCACCAGACUGCUCAGGAAGGUGAGCUCUUCAAGGAGCAGUACAAAACAGAAACACCCAAAUAAUCCCUACAAAAAUGC
rnacentral:lncRNA from 1 species